rnacentral:rRNA from 1 species
CCUACGGGAGGCAGCAGUGGGGAAUAUUGGGCAAUGGGCGCAAGCCUGACCCAGCAACGCCGCGUGAAGGAAGAAGGCUUUCGGGUUGUAAACUUCUUUUAAGGGGGAAGAGCAGAAGACGGUACCCCUUGAAUAAGCCACGGCUAACUACGUGCCAGCAGCCGCGGUAAUACGUAGGUGGCAAGCGUUGUCCGGAUUUACUGGGUGUAAAGGGCGUGCAGCCGGGACUGCAAGUCAGAUGUGAAAUCCGCGGGCUUAACCCGCGAACUGCAUUUGAAACUGCGGAUCUUGAGUACCGGAGAGGUUAUCGGAAUUCCUUGUGUAGCGGUGAAAUGCGUAGAUAUAAGGAAGAACACCAGUGGCGAAGGCGGAUAACUGGACGGCAACUGACGGUGAGGCGCGAAAGCGUGGGGAGCAAACAGGAUUAGAUACCCCAGU